UGCAGUCGAGCGGACGUUUGAGAGCUUGCUCUCAAACGUUAGCGGCGGACGGGUGAGUAACACGUGGGUAACCUGCCUGUAAGAUUGGGAUAACUCCGGGAAACCGGAGCUAAUACCGAAUAACAUUUUGAACCGCAUGGUUUAAAAUUGAAAGAUGGUUUCUGCUWUYCCUUACCGAUGGACCCSCGGCGCAUUAACUWGUUGGGGAGGUAAUGGCUCACCCAGGGGACCAUKCCUARCCCAACUGARAGGGUGAUCGGCCMCMCUGGGACUGAAACCCGGCCCAAAAUCCUACCGGAGGGAGCAGUAGGGAAUCUUCCGCMAUGGACCAAAGUCUGACSGAACAACCCCSCGUGRACCAUGAAGGGUUUCGGGUCGUAAAGUUCUGUUGKUAGGGAAGAACCAGUACCCAAAUAACCGGUGGUACCUUGACCGGUCCUAACCCRAAAGCCCCCGCUAACUACCUGCCCACCGCCCCCGUAAUUCCUARGUGGMAAGCGUUKUCCGGAAUUAUUGGGCCUWAAGCSCGCSCCAGSGGKUUCUUWAGUCUGAWGUKAAAGCCCACGGCUCMACCSUGGAAGGUCAUUGGAAACUGGGGAACUUGARUGGARAAGAAGAAAGUGGAAUUCCA
rnacentral:rRNA from 1 species